CAUCACUCCUCAUGUUGUUGCUGAUAUUGUAUAGUUUCCCCUGAGCACGGUUUCCUGGAGGAACUGGUAGACCGUGGCUCCUUUGUGCCUCUGGUUUCCCCACAUCCCGUUUCCUGAGUGGAAACCUCUCUCCACGGCCCCCUUCUCUCCCCAUGCCCUGCUCAUGCUCGCACAAAAGCAGAAGGGCCUGGGGACACACUGGGCAUGGCUCUGUCGUGUCCAUUUCUGUAUCCCAAUUAUUAGCACAACAGCCAGCAGGAAGGAGGCCUUGUAUGAGGCCAGAUACAGGGCGGAAACUUCACUCACAGUUCUGCCCUGUCCAAAAGAGACCCGGCAGGGGUCAGAUAGCUCCAGCAGUGCCACCUUAUCCUCAGGGCACUGCCCUUAGCUCCAGACUCCUGAAUGGGCCUAUGAAAGAUGCUGUCACUUUUGCAACUUUCCUCAAAGGUUCUGGGCAAGGGGACACCUCAGGGCUGUGUUUCCAGGGGAGGCUGAUGUGAGGGCCAGGUAUUCUGGGGAUGGUUUCUCAGCCCACUAACUUCAGACAAGGAGGAGAACACACCUGUUCUUCCUACUGGACAGGAAACCAAACAACUCUGCUUCCUAAGUUGCCUUGGUUUCUGGGGUUAUUGGCAUCCGAGUUUGCCAGGAGUGGAAGGCCUGGGACAGGAGAGGCAGGGGCUGGCAGGCCUCCCUCUUCACAGCUCCAAGGGUUAAAAAGCACUUAGCAGCAGCAUAUAAUAAAAGCAAAUGUAAGAGAAAGAAUAUCCUAAGGAUUUAAUAAACUGCAAACAAAAUUAUCACGAUUCUUUUCCUAGCCAGUUGAGUUUUCAGUGAUUAAGAAAAUACAAUUUCCUGUAAUUAAAUCUUAACAAGAAAUGUUAUUAAAAACACUCUGUCCCAGCUCCUGUCAUAAUUGCAUGCUCCCCUAGAACAGUAAACAGAAUUAGACUUUGCAGCGUACAUGCUAAUCCAUGUGUCAUUUUGAUCAAAUUUGUACUAAUAACCUGUCUUCUUAUUCUGAGAUGAGGAAGGCAGGGAAGAGGGAGCCAGGCCCAGAGGGCAAAACUGAGCCCUGGCUGGGGAGUGGGAGCUGCGAGUGUUGGGUUUGGCCCCCAGGAUGAUAAGUGUUGAACUUACUGAGCACAUAUGCACACUGGGCUCUGUGCUAAACAGGUUACACAUAUAACUUCACAUAUUCCUUACACAACCUCACAUAAUGUUGUUAUGCUCAUUUUACAGACGAGAAGACUGAGGCUCAGAGAGGUUUGGUAACUUGCCCAAGGUCACUCAGAGUCAUCUAGAUCUAAGGCCCCAGAGUGUGGCUAUGGGGCUAUUCUAGGGCACGGGCUGUCAGGUGAGAACAUUCUCUGUCCUGGAGAACUGGACUGGCCUGACGGUAGCUGGCAGGAAGAACUUCCCUCUGCCAGGAUGUGCUGGCCACAGAAGCAAGGGAGACUGUGGCAUCCACUUUGAGAAGUUUCUUUUCCUUUGAAAAAAGCCACAGGGUGGGAGAGGACAUUGUGGAGGGGCUGAGGGUGAGAGCAGAGGGCUGGGGUUUGUAUGGUGCAGGGUUCUGUUCAUGGCCCUGGGGUAGACCUGAGAUGAGCAUUCUAGCACAGUUAAGAGGGAUCGGCGUGGGUGUGGAGCCCUGGAGUUCAAAACUGCUGCCCCCACACAUGCGUGUGUAUGUCAGUGUGUGUGUGAAUGUAUGUGAGUGCAUGAGUAUAUGUGUGAGCAUGUAGGCAAGUGUGUGAGUUCACCACUGACCCUGUGUAUGAGUGUGUAAGUGCAUGAAUGUGUGUGAGUCAUUGUGAGCAUGUGUGUGAAUGCAGGCAUAGGAGUGUGUGAAUGUGUCUGUGACUGAGUGUGUAUGUGAGCACAUAACUGGGUGAUGUGGUUGUAUGCGGAUGUCUGUGUGAGUGUGUGACUAUGUGUAAAGGUGUGAGAGUGGAAGUGUAUGAAUUGGGUACAUGUCAAUGUGUGCAUGUGCAUGAGUGUGUGACUAUAAGGGUGAGCAUGUGAGCAUGGAUGUUAGCAUGGGUGUGCCCCUGGAGCCCCAGUCUGCUGGCGCUGAUGGAGGGGCAGAGCCAGGCCAGCAUGCGGGCCCUGGCUGUUUUCCUACUCACAGCAGCCCCCUCCCCACAGCUUCAUUCCCUGCGGAAAGUGAGCCUGAAAUUAUCCUCAGCUCGCACGCUCCUGCACGCACACAGGCGCCAGUGCCUCCAUCUCCCACUCCCGGUCCACUAAUUAGCUCUUCUAAUUAAAUCCCUGCUGGGUUGGACAGGGAGGGCCUUCUCUUUUCCGGAUCCUCUGAGGACCAGGUCAUGCUGACCUAGAAGGCUCCACCCACUAUCCCCAUUCCCAUUCCACAGCCCCUGCUCCUGCUCAGAGGAGCCUGGAUCCAGGGAAGAGACAGAGGAGGAGGGGACCCCUAUGGGUAGGAGUCCUGUUCAGCAAACACAAAACACCUACUAUGUGCCCAGUACUGUGCAAAGCUUUCUGGGGAAGGAGGUGGAGAUGACAAAUGGGCAAGACCCAGGGGCUCCCCAUUCUGAGCUUCCUUCUCCCAAUCACUCUGGCUCCGAACCUUGAUCUCAUCCUCCACUCUUGUCCCUUCUGGUACCCCCAGGCAGCAACCUGCCGCCUCCACCUUAUCUCCUCGCUUCUCUACAGAGAGUUCCUCUUUGACCAGACGGCCUAUGCAUUGGGCCAGCUGAGCCCUAGAUCAUUCCUCCUUUAUCAAAGUUUUAAUCCUCUCUGAGGUCCCGUGCACUCACCUCGCAGCUCUCUUGGGAGCCCUUCCUGACUGCUGCGUUUCCUCCCGUCUGCUGGGGCCAGCUCCGGGCCUUGGCGUAUGCCGCCUGCUUCCCUUUUUAUAGGCUCCACCUGCCUCACUAAACAUCUUUAAGCCUCUGAAAUCAGAGGCCGUGUCUUGUGCCUCUUAACCCUUUACUGAGCCCAGCACAUUGUGAGUACUCUAAGAAUGUCUACGGAGUGACUGACGAACCAGGAAGAUGGAGGAGAUGGGUUCCUGCACUCCCUGUGCUCGCCCCUGGAGAGCUCCUGUGAUAUGGAAGAGAAUCCCAGGCUCCUGGAUCUCAGCGUGGACAAGACUUAGCUGUCACCUUGUCUAACUUCUCCCUUCGAGCAGAGCCUGCCACGGGAAUUCUUUGCAAGUGACUUAUUGUCUCUCAGUGUGCCUCUUAUUGUGUAAGAGUGAAGGGGUCAGGAUAGGCCGGGGGCAAGCUGAGCGAGGACGAGGCCUGAGCCGGCGGGAGGCUCUGGACCAUGGACAGCAUCACAGAGUCGGCCCCUGGAGGCAAGAGGGCGGCUUCUUAUUCCCCGCAUCAGGCAGUCACCGGCUGCCAGGAGCCGGGGUCGGGGAGGAGCGGAGCCUCUCCAGAAUCAGGGCAAGGUGGCUGAGAGCAGUUCUCUAGAAAAGGGGGCUGCUGUGAGCUGUUAGCAGCAGAUGCCGAUUUUGGGGCCUGGUAAGGGGGUGUGGGCGAGCCCCAAGAGCAUCCACCACAUCCCCACCCAGAAUGUACUUUGUACUAGUCGUGGUUCCUGAGCCUGUCCGAGAAGAGCGGGGAAGAAGGAUAGAAGGGUCUCUUGUCUUCAGUGCCAGCCCAUGGGGCACCACAAGAUGCCACUCAGGAGAGGUUUCGCCUCAAUCUUGCACUGAAUUAUCAUCUGUCAAAUGCGUGAACACAUCCUGUGGCUUAGUCUGUAAGGCUGCUAUAAU
rnacentral:lncRNA from 10 species